UUUUUAAGAACAGAAAAUGUGAAAAAGAAAACUACGUUUGACGCCAUUUCCGAAAGUGAAAUAGAUGCAAUAAUAGAUAACAACUAUACAACAACCGCUUCUGAAAGAAAUGCGUCAAAAAGGACCGCUGAAGAAAUAAGAAAAACUUUCGAAAACUAUUUUUCUGCGGUAAAUGAAAAUAUCGUUUCAUUGUUUAAAUAAACCAAAACUUUUCGUGUUGGAAAUUUUCCAUACUAGUAGAAGCAACAAUUGGUUUAUUUGGUGAUUAAAUAAAUGAGUACAAUGUCUUCAAUUUAUGUACAUACCUACUAGCUAAUACCUGCCUACUUAGCGCAACCAAAUAUUUUAAUGAAAGUAAUAAUAAGGUAAAAAAGUGGUAAGAAUAAUCAAAAUACAUAUUCACUCGGCAAAAUAAUAACUCUGCCUCCUUUCGUAAAGUUUGACUAUUUUCCUUUUAUUUAUUGAACUUUAAUAA